rnacentral:rRNA from 1 species
UACGGGGGGGGCAAGCGUUGUUCGGAAUUACUGGGCGUAAAGGGCUCGUAGGCGGCCAACUAAGUCAGACGUGAAAUCCCCAGGCUCAACCUGGGAACUGCGUCUGAUACUGGAUGGCUUGAAUCCGGGAGAGGGAUGCAGAAUUCCAGGUGUAGCGGUGAAAUGCGUAGAUAUCUGGAGGAAUACCGGUGGCGAAGGCGGCAUCCUGGACCGGCAUUAACGCUGAGGAGCGAAAGCCAGGGGAGCAAACGGG